rnacentral:rRNA from 1 species
UACGUAGGGUGCGAGCGUUAAUCGGAUUUACUGGGCGUAAAGCGUGCGCAGGCGGCCCGUUAAGACAGGUGUGAAAUCCCUGGGCUCAACCUAGGAAUUGCGCUUGUGACUGGCGGGCUGGAGUACGGUAGAGGGGGGUGGAAUUCCGGGUGUAGCAGUGAAAUGCGUAGAGAUCAGGAGGAACACCGAUGGCGAAGGCAGCCCCCUGGGCCUGUACUGACGCUCAUGCACGAAAGCGUGGGGAGCAAACAGG